rnacentral:rRNA from 1 species
CAGUAACGGCGAGUGAAGCGGCAACAGCUCAAAUUUGAAAUCUGGCUCCUUCGGGGUCCGAAUUGUAAUUUGUAGAGAGUGCUUCGGGCGAGACGUCGGUCUAAGUCCAUUGGAACAUGGUGUCAUAGAGGGUGAGAAUCCCGUAUGCGACCGUGGCUCGAGCCCAUGUGAAGCCUCUUCGACGAGUCGAGUUGUUUGGGAAUGCAGCUCAAAAUGGGUGGUAAAUUUCAUCUAAAGCUAAAUACUGGCUGGAGACCGAUAGCGCACAAGUAGAGUGAUCGAAAGAUGAAAAGCACUUUGGAAAGAGAGUCAAACAGUACGUGAAAUUGUUGAAAGGGAAGCGCUUGCAACCAGACCUGCCCGUAGGCGAUCAGCCGCUGUUCUCAGCGGUGUACUCGCUCUGCGAUCAGGCCAGCAUCGGUUUCGGCGGUCGGAUAAAGACCUUGGGAAUGUAGCUUCCCUUCGGGGAAGUCUUAUAGCCCUCGGUGUAAUGCGGCCAGCCGGGACCGAGGACCGCGCUUCGGCUAGGAUGCUGGCGUAAUGGUUGUAAGCGACCCGUCUUGAAACACGGACCAAGGAGUCUAACAUCUAUGCGAGUGUUUGGGUGUCAAACCCAUACGCGGAAUGAAAGUGAACGGAGGUGAGAACCCUUAAGGGCGCAUCAUCGACCGAUCCAGAUGUCUUCGGAUGGAUUUGAGUAUGAGCAUAGCUGUUGGGACCCGAAAGAUGGUGAACUAUGCCUGAAUAGGGUGAAGCCAGAGGAAACUCUGGUGGAGGCUCGCAGCGGUUCUGACGUGCAAAUCGAUCGUCAAAUUUGGGUAUAGGGGCGAAAGACUAAUC